rnacentral:rRNA from 1 species
CGCACAGCGAAGGUGCUUGCACCUUUCAAGUGAGUGGCGAACGGGUGAGUAACGCGUGGGGAAA